rnacentral:rRNA from 1 species
UACGUAGGGUGCGAGCGUUGUCCGGCAUUAUUGGGCGUAAAGAGCUCGUAGGCGGUGUGUCACGUCGUUCGUGAAAACCUGCAGCUUAACUGUGGGCGUGCGGUCGAUACGGGCAUCACUGGAGUUCGGCAGGGGAGACUGGAAUUCCUGGUGUAGCGGUGAAAUGCGCAGAUAUCAGGAGGAACACCGGUGGCGAAGGCGGGUCUCUGGGCCGAUACUGACGCUGAGGAGCGAAAGCGUGGGGAGCAAACAGG